rnacentral:tRNA from 1 species
GGGGAUGUGACUCAAAUGACAGAGUGCCUAUCUAGAAAGCAGGAGGAACUUGGUUCAAACCCUAGUGCCACCA